rnacentral:lncRNA from 1 species
CUGGGGAUGAAUUUUGCAAGACAUUUGUAUUCAGAAAAACUGAACAGGCACAGCACAGGACUUGGCCAGAAUAUAAUAACUACACUGUAUUUAUCUUAAUGCCUAUGCUCAGUCUGUCCUAGAUGACCAGCUGUGAAAGGACUUCCAUGAAAGAAAUGGAACAGUGCCUUUUCCGUCAAAGCAGUAUGUAAACAGAAGCUGAGGAAAAGGUGGGAGGAAGCGAGUCUGGUGUGUGAGAAGAAUGGAUGUUUUUGUCCUCUUUGCAGGCUGCAUCUGAAAGGCAGUGGCAAGAAAGAGCUUAGAUGAAAACGUCAGCCUGCACAACACUAAAGACAAAACCUGGCAUCAAUAUAUUAUUGACUGUGAUGGGGAAGAGGUCUGAGCGAAGCCCACGGUGCUGGUUG